UACGUAGGGUGCAAGCGUUGUCCGGAAUUAUUGGGCGUAAAGAGCUCGUAGGCGGUUUGUCGCGUCUGCUGUGAAAACUCAGGGCUUAACCCUGAGCCUGCAGUGGGUACGGGCAGACUAGAGUGUGGUAGGGGAGAUCGGAAUUCCUGGUGUAGCGGUGGAAUGCGCAGGAUAUCAGGAGGGAACACCGGUGGCGAAGGCGGAUCUCUGGGCCAGUAACUG
rnacentral:rRNA from 1 species